CCCUCCCCCCUUCUCUUAGCCAAUAUUGUGAUUUUGGGGUCUCUAACAAGCACCUAUUGCGCAUCUAGAAAUAGAGAAACAACCACAAUAUCCAUAUAAAAUUAUCUGAUGAGAUUAUCAUUCAAUUCUUCACACCAGGACAGGGCAGGUCAAAGAGUUGUUCUAGAUAGUUAUAGUUUAUAAUGGACAUUUCUCGAUUUCUCCGGAUGCAUGCACCGGUGGUUUUCAACUGUGUCGAAUGCGCGCUUCGGAGGGAGUUCCAGAACGCAGUUAUAAACGGUUGGAGCGCGUCCCGGUUGUCGGCUUGGCUCCGUCUGUCAGUUAGAUCCCGGAGAGAGAGAGGGGGCUUGAUUGAGUAGGGGACGAUGAUGGCAAUAGCGAAGAUACCGUGGCUCCUUCUCCUCGAGAUGGGAUUGUACGCCAGUUGUUUCGUUUGUGGAAUCGUCACGGCAGCUUCUCUCACUAUCACACAGGGAAGUUUCAGUGGUCUCUGUAUCCUUUACGGGACAGUAAAUCACAACUCGUCAUCAGACUCCCUAUUGGUCCAGACCUCCAGCUCUCCCUCGCUCUGUUACUUUGUCUCUGCUAUCUCAGUGUGUGUAGCAGUGUUCUGUUUCUCUGUAUCACUGUACUGGAUAUAUACAUGCUGGCUGGAUGGAGGGGUUAACAGAGAGCGUCUAUGGCUGACCGUGACCCUGGUGGUGUGUGGAGUGUUUCUCUUCUUCCUCCUGCUGACGGGCUGUGUGUUGAAAAGAGGAAGAGACUCUCUGUGUGACUCUGUCCUACACGCUGUCCCCAACAU